GGGAGGAGGAGCGUCUGGGAGAUGCUGUCCUAUAAUAAUGUUGGUGGCAGCCUACAGGAGGCUCAGACCAUGGCCCCAGCAGACCUGGGUGGGGUCCUGGCCCUUCCAGCUGUCAACCGUGUGAUCCCGGGCAGUCAUCUCCAUCUCAGCUCCUGGUUCUUUCGGCAUCAGAGUCACCGGGAGGCUCAUUAGAAGGCAAAGGGCCAGAGCCAGCUCAGGGGAAGAUUUGUCUCAAUCUACAGUUACAUCCCAAUGAUGGGCAUUUCGUUCAAAAAAUUAUGGUUUUAUCCAGACUGCAAACUAUCAAGGAGCUGCUCACCUUGCUGGUGUGAAUGUUUAUUGACAUGAGAAAGAAUUCAACAACAUAGCGAAUGGGGGAAAAAAAAAAUCAUGGAGCCAUGUGUGAGGGAUGAUCUCCAUUCUUUAUCCUGUUGUUAAUCAUAUUGAUUAAAAGUCUAGGAGUGCCCAUUGUGGCUCA